rnacentral:rRNA from 1 species
GACGUAGGGCGCGAGCGUUGUCCGGAUUUAUUGGGCGUAAAGAGCUCGUAGGCGGCUUGUCGCGUCGACUGUGAAAACCCGUGGCUCGACCAUGUGGUCUGCAGUCGAUACGGGCAGGCUAGAAUUCGGUAGGGGAGACUGGAAUUCCUGGUGUAGCGGUGAAAUGCGCAGAUAUCAGGAGGAACACCGGUGGCGAAGGCGGGUCUCUGGGCCGAUACUGACGCUGAGGAGCGAAAGCGUGGGGAGCGAACAGG